rnacentral:rRNA from 1 species
UACGUAGGGUGCAAGCGUUAAUCGGAAUUACUGGCGUAAGGCGUGACGCAGGCGGUGAUGUAAGACAGGUGUGAAAUCCCGGGCUUAACCUGGAACUGCAUUUGUGACUGCAUCGCUGGAGUGCGGCAGAGGGGGAUGGAAUUCCGCGUGUAAGCAGUGAAAUGCGUAGAUAUGCGGAGGAACACCGAUGCGAAGGCAAUCC